rnacentral:rRNA from 1 species
GAGUGCCCCAAGCGUUAUCCGGAAUCAUUGGGCGUAAAGGGUGUGUAGGUGGCGAUGUUAGUCUUCUGUCAAAUUCUUCGGCUUAACCGGGGGUCUGCAGAGGAAACGGCAUUGCUCGAGGAUGCGAGGGGUCUAUGGAACUCAUGGAGUAGGGGUGAAAUCCGUUGAUAUCAUGGGGAACACCAAAAGCGAAGGCAAUAGACUGGCGCAUUCCUGACACUGAAACACGAAAGCGUGGGUAGCGAACGGGAUUAGAUACCCCGGUAGUCCACGCCCUAAACGUUCUUCUCUAGCUUUCGGGGGUAUCAACCCCCUCGGAGGCGAAGCUAACGCGUUAAGAGAAGCGCCUGGGUAGUACGACCGCAAGGUUA